UACAGAGGUCCCGAGCGUUGUUCGGAUUCAUUGGGCGUAAAGGGCUCGUAGGCGGCCAACUAAGUCCGACGUGAAAUCCCCAGGCUUAACCUGGGAACUGCGUCGGAUACUGGAUGGCUUGAAUUCGGGAGAGGGAUGCAGAAUUCCAGGUGUAGCGGUGAAAUGCGUAGAUAUCUGGAGGAAUACCGGUGGCGAAGGCGGCAUCCUGGACCGACAUUGACGCUGAGGAGCGAAAGCUAGGGGAGCAAACGGG
rnacentral:rRNA from 1 species